rnacentral:rRNA from 1 species
CCUACGGGGAGCAGCAGUGAGGAAUAUUGGUCAAUGGACGCAAGUCUGAACCAGCCAUGCCGCGUGCAGGAAGACGGCUCUAUGAGUUGUAAACUGCUUUUGUACGAGGGUAAACGCAGAUACGCGUAUCUGUCUGAAAGUAUCGUACGAAUAAGGAUCGGCUAACUCCGUGCCAGCAGCCGCGGUAAUACGGAGGAUUCAAGCGUUAUCCGGAUUUAUUGGGUUUAAAGGGUGCGUAGGCGGUCGGAUAAGUUAGAGGUGAAAUCCCGAGGCUCAACUUCGGAAUUGCCUCUGAUACGGUGCGGCUAGAGAGUAGUGGCGGUAGGCGGAAUGUAUGGUGUAGCGGUGAAAUGCUUAGAGAGCAUACAGAACACCGAUUGCGAAGGCAGCUUACCAGGCUACUGCUGACGUUGAGGCACGAAAGCGUGGGGAGCAAACAGGAUUAGAUACCCGAGUAGUG